rnacentral:lncRNA from 1 species
UUUUUUUUUUUUUUUUGGUCUUUUUAAGGGCUGCACCUGCAGCAUAUGGAAGUUCCCAAGCUAGAGGUCAAAUUGGAGCUGUAGGCUAUCCCCCUACACCACAGGACAGCAACAACAGAUCCGAGCCACGUCUGCGACUUAACACCACAGCUCACAGCAACACUGGAUCCUUAACCCACUGAGUGAGGCCAGGGAUGGAAUCCGAGUCCUCAUGCGUACUAGUUGGAUUCAUCACUGCUGAGCCAUGAUGGGAACUCCGAGGUCUUUUUUUUUUUUUUUUUUUUUUUUUUUUUUUUGUUUUUUUUUUUGUAUUUUUGCCAUUUCCAGGGCUGCUCCUGCAGCAUAUGUAGGUUCCCAGGCUAGGGGUCGAAUCAGAGCUGUAGCCGAUGGCCUAUACCAAAGCCACAGCAACGUGGAUCCGAGCUGCAUCUGCGACCUACACCACAGCUCACGGCAACGCCGGAUCCUUAACCCACUGAGCAAGGCCAGGGACCAAACCUGGGACCUCAUGGUUCCCAGUCGGAUUCGUUAACCACUGUGCCACAAUAGGAACUCCAAGUUUUAGAGUAUUUAUAUCAUUCCCCCAAAGAUACUUUAUACCUAUUAACAACCAUUGUCACUCCCCCUUACCCUUCUAUGCACUCCCCAGCCCUAACCAACCACUAAUCCACUUUUGGUCUCUGUAGAUUUGUUUAUUCUGGAUAUUUCAUAUAAAUGAAAUCAUACCACAAUAGUGUUUUGUGUCUGGAUACUUUCUCAGCAUAAUGUUUUUAAGAUUCAUCAAUGUAGCAUGCAUCAGUAUUUCAUUUCUUUUUAUGGAUUAAUACUCUGUUGUAUGAAUAUACCAGAUUUUGUUUAUCCAAUUUUUAGCCGGCGGACAUUUGGGUUGUUUCUGCUUUUGUUGCUAUGCACACUCAUGUACAAUUUUUAGUGUGGAUAUGUGUUUUCAUUUUUCUUGGAUAGAUACCUAGGCAUAGAAUUGCUGGUUCAUAUGAACUCUGUAUUUAACAUUUUGAGGAGCUGCUUAACUGUUUUUCAAAGUAGCUGCAUCUAUAUCUCUUUGUUCUAAUACCUUAGGUUCACACACAAAAACAAAAACAAAAACUAUGGCUCAUUAGCCGGGACUGUGGAUAGAAAAUAGAUACUGGAGAGAAAAUAGAUCUCCAAGUGUGAACUAAAUUAGCCAUGUGGUUGAAAUUCAUACUACCUAUACAGUUCAGGAAUGCUGAAUUGAGAAAUUAACAAAUUAAAAAAGUAAAAAAUUUAAAAAGUAAACAAACAAACAAACAAAACCCCCCAAAAAACAACAGCAACCCAUAACAAAACAUUUAAAAAAGAGAGAGAGAAAUUAACAUAAAGUGAGUUCAGAACUGGUGAAAUCCAGAGGGCUUCAUGGACUGGGUGAACUUAAAGGUCUAUACCUAGAUAAACUAUAAUUUAGGAGUAAAAGCAAAGGAAAUGUAUUUAAAGACUUACAGGGACUUAGAACAUUUACCAUCAAAACAAUCUUGCUGAAAGACCUAUUGAGGAAUGUACUUUAAGGAGAAAAAUGAACAAAGUUUUCAUUGAUGGAUCAAUGGAUAAGGAAAUUGCAAGGACACACACACACAGGAGGAAUAUUAUUUAGCCAUAAAAAGAAUAAAAAACCUUGCUAUCUGUGCUCACAUGGAUGGACCUCAAGAGCAUUAUGGUAAGUUAAAUAAGUAGAUAGGGAAAAACAAAUACCUUAUGAUCUCUCUCAUACAUGGAACCUAAAAACAACAACAGCAAAACAAGCUCACAGAUACAGAGAACAGAUUGGCGGUUGUCAAAAUUGGGGGUCGGGGUAGAUGUAGGAGAAAUGGGUAAAGGAGGUCAAAAGGUAAAAAGAAAAAAAAAGGCAAUGCCAGUGAUACCUGAUUUACCACUGCAUUGUCAGAACUAAACUGUCUUUCAUAGUAGGUGAACAAACAAUUUUUGCUGAAUGAAUUAGCCAGUCAAUUCUUGGUUUAAAAAACAACAAAACAAAAGUGAACCAAGAAGGAAAUAAAGAAGUGUAAGAAGCAAUGGCGAAAAAAGGUUUUUAAACUAUGGAGUUCUUGGAAUUCCUGUUGUGGCUCAGUGGUUAAUGAACCCGACUAGGAUCCAUGAGGACGUGGGUUUGAUCCCUGUCCUGGCUCAACAGGUUAAGGAUCUGGCAUUGCUAUGAGUUGUGGUGUAGGCUGGCAGCUGCAGCUUUGAUUCAGUCCCUAGCCUGGGAAGUUCCAUACGCCUCAGUUCGGCCCUAAAAAAAGAAAAAGGAAAAAAAGUUGUUAAAAUAUUUUGAUAAAUGAGCAUACUAUGAGACUAGAAUACUCUUCUUUUCCAGCUGCCCCCACAGCAUACGGAAGUUCCUGGGCCAGGGAUCAGACCCGGAGCUGUGACCUGCUACACAGCUCCAGCCAUACAGUAUCCUUAACCUACUGCAUCAGACCAGGGAUGGGAACCAACACCUCCACAGAAGCAAGCUGGAUCAUUAACCCACUGCGCCACAGUGGGAACUGCUGAGACUAGCAUACUCUUUAAUUAAUUAAUUAAUUAAUUAAUUUUGUGCUUUUUAGGGCCGCACUGGUGUUAUAUGGAGGUUCUGAGGUAGGGGUCGAACCACAGCCACAGAGCCACAGCAACAUGGGAUCUGAGCUGCGUCUGUGACCUACACCAUAGCUCAUGGCAACACCGGAUCCUUAACCCACUUCGUGAGACAAGGGAUCGAACCCACAACCUCGUGGUUACUAGUCAGAUUCAGUUCUGCUCCAUGACAACAGAAACUCUGAGACUAGCAUAAUCUUGAAGCUAAAAAUCCAACAAGGACAGCGAGAGAAGAAGAAAAAAAUUAUAUGCCAAUCUGAUUCAUGAACAUACUUGCAAAAAUCCCAAAUAAAAUAUAAAGGAAUCAAAUUCAAUUUCACUACCAAGAAGGAUUUUUAUCACAGGAAUGGUUCAACAUAUUUUUUCCCCCUUUUUUGGCCACACUCGUGGCAUAUGGAAGUUCCUGGGUCAGGGACUGAAUCCAAGCCGAAUUCAAUCCACCCCAGGCUAGGGGUCUAAUCGGAGCUGUAGCCACUGGCCUACGCCAGAGCCACAGCAACGCAGGAUCCGAGCCGCGUCUGCAACCUACACUACAGCUCACGGCAACGCCGGAUCGUUAACCCACUGAGCAAGGACAGGGACCGAACCUGCAACCUCAUGGUUCCUAGUCGGAUUCGUUAACCACUGCGCCACGACGGGAACUCCUAUAUUACAUAUUUUAUAUAUUAUAUACAUUCUUAUAAUAGAUAUAUGUUCUUUUUAAUAUUCUUUUCCAUCAUGGUCUAUCCCAGGAGAUUGGAUAUAGUUCUCUGUGCUAUACAGUAGGACCUUGUUGUUAUCCCUUCCAAAUGUAACAGUUUGCAUCUACUACAAACUCCCAGUCCAUCUCACUCCUUCCCUCCUCUCGCUUGGCAACAACAAAUUUGUUUUCUAUGUCUGUGAGUCUGUCUCUGCUUUGUAGAUAGGUUCAUUUGUGCCAUAUUUUAGAUUACAUAUAUAGAUAUCAUAUGGUAUUUUUUUGUUUUCUUUCUGACUUACUUCACUUAGUAUAAUAAUCUCCAGUUGCAGCUAUGUUGCUGUGAAUGGCAUUAUUUUGUCUUUUUUAAUGGUUGAGUAGUUUUCCACUGUAUAUAUGUACCACAUCUUCUCAAUCCAUUCAUGUGUCCAUAGACAUUUAGGUUGUUUCUAUGUCUUGGCCAUUAUGAAUAGUGCUGCUAUGAACACAAGGGUGCAUGUAUCUUUUAAAAUUAUAGUUGUGUCCAGAUACACUCCCAAGAAUGGAAUUGCUGUGAUCAUAUGGUAAUUCUGUUUUUAGUUUUCAGAGGAACCACCAUACUGUUUUCCAUAGUGGUUGUACCAAUUUACAUUCCCAUCAACAGUGUAGGAGGAUUCCCUUUUCUCCACAUCCUCUCCAGCAUUUGAUAUUUAUAGACUAUUUUGUUGUUAUUUUAUUUUUUAUUUGUAGACUUAUUAAUGAUGGCCAUUCUUACUGGUGUGAGCUAGUACCUCACUGUAGUUUUGAUUUGCAUUUCUUUAAUUAGUGAUGUUGGGCAUCUUUUCAUGUGCUUAUUGGCCACCCAUAUGUCUUCUUUAGAGAAAUGUCUAUUUAGGUCUUCUGACCAUUUUUCGAUUGGGUUGUUUGUUUUUUUGUUGAUGGGUUGUAUGAGUUGUUUGUGUAUUUUGGAGCUUAAGCCCUUGUUGGUUGCAUUAUUUGCAAAUAUUUUCUCCCAUCCCGUAGGUUGUCUUUUUUUUUAUGGUUUCUUUUGCUGUGCAAAAGCUUGUAAGUUUGAUUAGGUCCCAUUUGUUUAUUUAUUUAUUUUUAUUUCUAUUGUCUUGGGGGACUGACCUAUGAAAGCACUGUAUGGUUUAUGUCAGAGAAUGUUUUGCCUAUGUUCUCUUCUAGGAGUUUUAUGGCAUCAUGUCUCAUGUUUAAGUCUUUUAGCCAUUUUGAGUUUAUUUUUGUGCAUGGUGUGAGGGUGUGUUCUAAUUUCAUUGAUUUACACACAGCUGUCUAAUUUUACCCUCACUGCUUGCUGAAGAAACUGUCUUUUUUCCAUUUUAUUUUCUUGGCUCCUUUGUCAAAGACUACUUGAACAAAGGCGUCUGGGUUUAUUUCUGGGCUCUCUAUUCUGUUCCAUUAAUCCAUAUGUCUGCUUUUGUACCAAUACCAUAUUGUUUUGAUUACUAUAGCUUGCAGUAUUGUCUGAAGUCUGGGAGAAUUAUGCAUCCUGCUUUGUUUUUUUUUUUCCCCCUUAAGACUGCUUUGGUAAUUCUGGGUCUUUUAUGAUUCCGUAUAAAUUUUCAUUGUUCUAGUUCUGUGAGAAAUAUCAUGGGAAAUUUGAUGGAGGUCACAUUAAAUCUGUAGAUUGCUUUGGAGAGUAUGACCAUUUUAACAAUAUUAAUUCUUCCAAUUCCAGAGAUAGCUUUCCAUUUAUUUGAAUCCUCUUUAAUUUCCUUUAUUAAUGUUUUAUAGUUCUCAGCAUAUAAGUCUUUCACCUCCUUGGACAGGUUUAUACCUAAGUUUUGUUGGGGGAGUACAAUUUUAAAUGUUUUUUUUUUUUUUACAUUCCUUUUCUGAUAUUUUAUUGUUAGUAUACAGAAAUGCAACCAAUUACUAAAUGUUAACCUUGUAUCCUGCUACUUUGCUGAAUUCAUUUACCUGAUCUAGUAGUUUUUAUGUGGAGUCCUUAGAAUUUUCUAUAUAUAGCAUCAUGUCAUCUGCAUAUAGUGACAGUUUUACCUUUUCUCUUCCAAUUUGGAUAUCUUUUAUUUUUUGUUUUCCCUAUAAGGAUGCAAAUUUCAUGAUAAAAUUUUAUACUUUUAUAGUACCCAUUACAUGGCCAAUACUAUUAUAAUUUGGGGUUAACAUCUUAGUCUCAUCCACUACUACUGAGUCUCCAAGUGCAGCACAUUCCUGUCAGAGAGCAAAAUCCUUCUCCCAUACAAUCAGAUUCAGGGUGGUUAGGGUGAUAUAAUACUUUGAUGACUGGGACAUAUGUCUUUAUAAGGGUAUAUGCCUUUCCCAAUCCACUUCAGAAUCACUGCUUGAUUGGGAACUCACUAAUGGCACUUUUUAUGAAUUUCAAUCCAGUUAAAUAAAUUUAAUGAAAUCAUAUUUCUACUCACCUCAAUAUAGUUGGUCUUAAACAUUAACUCUAUUAAUUUGUAAAUCCCUAGCCUAUGCCUUCUCCAUCCACUUGGGGCAUGUUCCACAAGCCCAAUGGUAGUGAAUGGACCACCGGUUUAUGCCUGCACACUGUUAUAUCUGUGCAGACAGUCUCUAAAUAUGUGUACAAAAUAUGCCUAAUUAUUUGCAGGAAUGAAUACACACUCUCAGUGAUUUUCUUUUCUAACAAUUAUCAAAAGAACUCCUAUCUUUUUUUGGUGAAUGGAACAUGUUGAAUGCUCAUUCAUAAAAGAACUGUCACAUAUUUAAGACAUUCAGAAAACAUUGCCAUUCUCAGGCAUUUUAGUGAGUAUUUUUGAUGCUAAAUAAUAUCAUUUUAAUAGCUUUCUUUCUAAACACAAGGAUCAACUGAAAUUUUUCAUGAAUGUCAAUAAGUUAAAAUUUUUUUGUUUGGUCCAAAAUAUGCUAAAAAUUAAACAAAGCCAAAUAUAAAUGUAUCAACAACAAACAAUAUCUUGUAUCGAGAGAAAACUUUUCUGGCUUCAGAAAAGAGUUUCUCUUCAAUCUCAACAUAUAAGUGUAUGACAGUAGAUUUCUGGGGAGUUCCCUGGUGGCCUAGUGGUUUGGAUUCAGUGCUUUCACUGCUGCAGCCGGGUUCAAUCCUUGGUCUGGGAACUGAGAUCCCAUAUCAAGCCACUGCACACCACAGCCAAAAACCAAACCAAAACAAACAAAAACAACAAAAACCCAACAGAGUUCACACGCUGUUGGGCUGUUAUUAAAUAAAAAUAAUUUUAGAUGAAAAAUUUACUCCUCUGAAAAUAGGUACUGAGCUAUGCAGCAAGUACUGUAGAGAAGACAGUCCCUUCCUUUCAAAAAUUUAGAGAUUAUUGGGAACCACAAAUCAAUAAAUCAACUAAAGGAAGGGCUAAGGCAAUAGCACAUGAAAAGGCACAGAGGCCAGAGAUAAGACAACUCUUUCCACAAAUAGUUUCAUGUGGUUAGAGAAUGGGAGCAGCUGUGGUAAGGGGAGGUACUGAGGUUGGAGAGAGGAGAAAGGGUUGAAUAUGCAUGCUAAGAGAUUUGGAUUUUGUUCAGUGAUCAGUGAAAAACUCUGGCGGUGAAAAGAAGACUGAUGAAGUAAAUCAGAGGUAAGGAGAUUAGUUGGAGGCUAUUUGUAAAAAUCCAGCUAAGACAUAACAGGGACAAACCUGGAGGAGUUCCCAUCAUGGCUCAGCAGAAGCAAAUCUGACUAGUAUCCAUGAGGCAGGUUCUAUCCCUCACCUCGCUCACUGGGUUAAGGAUCCGACGUUGCUAUGAGCUGUGGUGUAGGUUGCAGAUGUGCCUUGGAUCUGGCCUUGCUGUGGUUGUGCUGUAGGCCAGUAGCUACAGCUCCAAUUCAGCCUCUAGCCUGGGAACCUCCAUGUGCCAUGGGUGCAGCCCUAAAAGGACAAAAAAAAAAAAAAAAA